CAGUUAGCAAGAUUGAGCUCCGUCAUUUGGAUCCAUUAGCCCGUACAGGAGCUCGCUCCAAUACUCGCGUUAUCCACAAAAUGUAGCAGUAGAUUGAAGAUGGCAUUGCUAAGCGCGCUCCUAACAGUCUCCGUCCACAGUCUCUAGCGGCAGAUUGGAGACUGAGUUGAUAAGCGCGCUUCUCACGGUGUUCAUCCACCGUCUCUAGCGGUUGAACGAAAAUGAGUUGGGAACGAGUCCAGGCGAGCGCAUCUAGCCGCGUGUGUAGUGCGUUUGGAGUUGCGGAGAAAUGCAGGAGUCUGGAUGCGCGCGCCGCGCGUCCUUCAACAGGCAAGUUGUUGUUAGUUGUGAUUCAGGAUUCAGUUGUGAUUUAAGUCGUGAGCGCUCAUGGAAUUGAUUGUAAAGUCCACUUGUUAAAUGGCCUCACUCCAGACGAGCAUCUGCACUCAGAUUUAUUUCCAAGUAUUCUGGAAUUUCCAAGCGGCUAAUAUUCUAUGAUCUGAUUGCCCAUCCUGUAUCUGAGCAAUCAUUGGUAGAGAGUUAGCAGCAAAAUCAAAUCACCUCAAAAUUCAUCAUUUAGUGCUUCAAACAACAUUGAUAUCAAGGAAGAUUUAGUGUAGGCAACUUAAAUAAUCAUAAACAGUAACUUUCAAAGUUUGAUUUGUCCAGAUAUUAAUUUUUUCAAACGAAGAAGAAAAGUGUACUUAAGUUCAGUGUUGGAAAUGCCUAAAUAUCUGAAUCAGUAGGUAAAACCAAACUCUUCGGAAUUUAAGUUUUAAAGAAGAACUUUAUAUUUGGUGAGUCUUUUUUUAUAUAAUUUCUUAACGCAUACUCUUUCAACACAGAAGGACUUUGAUAAACUGUAGAAAGCAGUUUCUUUUGAUGCUCAUCAUGAAACAUCAUCUCAGCAAGUUUGAUGCCCUCUCAAGUCUUAGUUACAUAUUUGUGCUGUAUAUUACCUGAAAAUUUUGAUUUUAUGUAGUUCAAAGCCUUGAAUAUUUUCUGUCAUACUUUUUAGUGAUCUAGCUGUAUUUGUCGGCAUCAUUUAAGUGGAUCUGAAUGUCAUGAUUUAUCAUUAUAACUUAUUAAGCUUAAAUUAAAGACAUUGUGUACCUCCAUCCCCCCAAAACUGAGGGUCUCGCAGUCAAAAUCUCACGAUACUUUACACCGGUGACUAAUGAAGAGUUACUGGAGUAAGCGUUAUUCGGACUAGAUGUGGCGCAUCAAUCAAUACCUUGGUAUACAUUUUCUACAUCAAACUUCAUUCAUCUUUGUAGGGUUCUCUAUGGCAAACAUGCUCCCUUUGUGCUACCAGCUACAUGUGUCUUUCAGUGUCAUUGAUUAUCCUAGGAUGACGAAUGACAUGUGUCAUCCAUAAUCGUAGGAUGACCAAUGACAUGCGCCGUUUAAUGUCAUUCAUCAUCCUAGAAUUCCUAACGACAUGUUUUAGGAUUUUCAAUGACAUGCAUCCUUCGAUGUCAGGAUUUUCAACAAUAUAUGGAGUUGAAUGUCUUUCAAUGUCUUUGUGAGGAAUGAAGGAUAUAUCCUUGGAACGACAUCUGAUGAUAAAGUGGCAAAA